AGGAUUCCCCUAGUAACGGCGAGUGAACCGGGAAAAGCUCAAAUUUGAAAUCUGGCGUCCUCAGGGCGUCCGAGUUGUAAUCUAUAGAGGCGUUUUCCGUGCCGGACCGUGUCCAAGUCCCUUGGAACAGGGUAUCAAAGAGGGUGACAAUCCCGUACUUGACACGACUACCGGUGCUCUGUGAUACGUCUUCUACGAGUCGAGUUGUUUGGGAAUGCAGCUCAAAAUGGGUGGUGAGUUCCAUCUAAAGCUAAAUAUUGGCGAGAGACCGAUAGCGAACAAGUACCGUGAGGGAAAGAUGAAAAGCACUUUGGAAAGAGAGUUAAACAGUACGUGAAAUUGUUGAAAGGGAAACGAUUGAAGUCAGUCGUGACCGAGAGGCUCAGCCGGCUCUGCCGGUGUAUUCCCCUCGGUCGGGUCAACAUCAGUUUUGUCCGGUGGAUAAGGGCGGUAGGAAGGUGGCACCCACGGGUGUGUUAUAGCCUGCCGUCGCAUACACUGGGUGAGACUGAGGAAUGCAGCUCGCCUUUAUGGCCGGGGUUCGCCCACGUCCGAGCUUAGGAUGUUGACAUAAUGGCUU
rnacentral:rRNA from 1 species